GAUGAAGAACGUAGCGAAAUGCGAUAAGUAAUGUGAAUUGCAGAAUUCAGUGAAUCAUCGAAUUUUUGAACGCACAUUGCGCCCGCCAGUAUUCUGGCGGGCAUGCCUGUUCGAGCGUCAUUACAACCCUCAGGCCCCCGGGCCUGGCGUUGGGGAUCGGCGGAGCCCCCCGUGGGCACACGCCGUCCCCCAAAUACAGUGGCGGUCCCGCCGCAGCUUCCAUCGCGUAGUACCUAACACCUCGCGACUGGAGAGCGGCGCGGCCACGCCGUAAAACACCCAACUCUUCUGAAGUUGACCUCGAAUCAGGUAGGAAUACCCGCUGAACUUAAGCAUAUCAAUAAGCGGAGGA
rnacentral:misc_RNA from 1 species